GUUUCGAAGCCCUGGGCAGAGUGGCAGUGCUAUUCUUGGCUGGCAGUCAUGUUGUCAGGCCUUCGUUCGCUGACUUCUCUUUCUGAGUGUGGACAACGUGCCAGAGACGGAUGGCCAGGACAGGCCGUGGUGGUUGGAAUGAAAGAGCUCCCAGCAGCCAGGGUGCAGCGGCAUGAAGCAGUGCACACUUUUUCUCUUACGUAUCCCUUGACGAGUAACGCGCCUGGGCAAAGUUGAAAAUAAAAGAGACAGAAAACAAUGAUGCAGCAUCAAAGAUAUUUAAAAACCACAUCCGGCAGCUGUGACAGAACAUGAAAAGAGUGGAUUAUGAGAAUCUGUGGCAGAUGUUAAUUGUGUAUCUUCCCCCACCCACCUCAAGAGCUGUUCUUCCCCAAAGGACCACCAUUUGGUUCAGGGCAGCCCCAAGGAGAAGGCAUUUUCCAUGAAAAAUCAACACACCAUGUCCUGGGAGAGCUGGGAUCCUACCUGGCACCUUGUGGGAAACACUUCAGGCCCGGAUGAAAGAAGAAGGAAGAGGAGGCCAAAAUGAAGGCAGGAGGAACAGAGGUGAGGACAACCAAACUCUGAAGGAGGUAAGCAACUUGCUUUAGGCCACAGAGCUCCUAAGGAGGUAGAACUCACUUUUUGUCACUAGUUCUUGGAUAUUUCCCUCCUUGUGGCUGCUACCAACCACAAAAAUGACAGGGUUCACAGUUAAGCAAGAGAUCAGAGAAGGGAAAGUGUUUGUUCUUUUACCAUUUUCCAGGCCCUGUGCUUGGAAGGCAUCACCAGAAGGGGACACAAGACAGGCAACUCACUAGUUUCCUGCCCCUCUGGACUCUACCUGUCUCUGUAUUAAUGUUGCAGGAUGGCAUUGGGAGGCCGAAAUAGGAGCGUUCAGUAGAAAGGAGGGGACAAAACUGAGCUUCAACAUGGAGAGGGGGAUAACCAGAGUUUCCAAAAGGGGACGUGAGAUGGAGAGAGCAUGUCUGCCUUACCGUGAAGGAACCUGCAUGCCUGCAGUUCUAAAGCAUCUAACAUUUUUUACUAAGGCAGACAGUAAGUAAUAAUGAGCUGUUCCUUCUUGGAGAGCUGAUUUUUUCCAGGAUCAAAAAAUCCUUGACUGCAAAAAUUACCAUAACUGCUAAUGGUAUGGGAUUCUUUUUGGGGUGAUGAAAAUGUUCCAGAAUUAGACAGUGGUGAUGGUUGCACAACUUUGUGAGUGUACUAGAAACACUGACGUACACGUUUUAAAAGCAUGAAUUUUAGGAUAGACGAAUGUGAUCUUAAUAAAAAAAUCUCACCUAAAACGAUGAUAAUCUCGAACAUCUAUUCAGGGAUAGUGCUACAAACUGUGUUCUGAGUUUUGUGGAUUAUCUUAGUUCAUUUUCCCAACAGCCACAGGGAUACUCUUACUGUUUCCACCUCACAGAGGAACAAAGUGAGGAUUACAGAGACUCAACAACCGGCCUCGCGUCACAUGGUUUUUACCAUCAUGCAGCAGCACCUCUGAGAUCAGCCUGGCUAGAUGUUGAAUGAUUUCCUGUUUGCUCUGUACUGCAGUCACUGGGCUCAGCUCUGGCGUUUUGGGACCUUUGGAUAUUUUGUUCAUUCAGGAUUCUGCACUUGGAUGCUCUAGUUGCCAGGCAAAGGGAUAGAUCUGAGUCGUGGUCCACCCCCCACCACAAUAAAGGACUUUGUUGAAAGCUGGCUCCAUUCCUGGUUUGCUCAAAUGCCAUUUCCUUGGAGCGGGCCUCUUGACUUCCCACUCUCAAUGAAGGGCCUCCCACAAGAGGCUCUUGCUGAACUUUGCAUCUCUUUUUUUAUAGCGCCAUGGCAGUCUGGUGGAGAUUUGAUUAAUAUCUGCCUGCCUCACUGAACUAUAAAGUUCAUGACACCAGGGACCAUGUCUGUUUUGCACACCACUGUGUGCUCAACAAGUAGCCCUGAGCGCACAGUAGGUGCUCAAGUAUCAAGUGAAUGACUGAACACCAGCCCCGAAAGACGACACCUACAAUCUUCACACUUCUGUACUGUCUCCUGAUGUACAGAGUCCCUUUUUUGGAAACUUAUAUAUAAUUUCUCUGGCCUCUGGAUCCAGUGCUAAAAUGGCGUGGGAGCAUUUCAGAGACACUACUGGCUCCUGCCCCUGGAAAGUGACGCACUGGUGGAAAGCUCUGGCUUCGGUUCUAACCUCAGAGACUUCUCUAAAAUGAUUCUUGUGUGCUGCCCUUCUCCAUUCUGACUGGGACUUUGGCUUUCACCUCAUUUCUUGCCUCCAUUAGUCCUUCUGAAUGUUCAUAAUAGCAUUUCCCAUCAACUCCCCCAUGAUCCGAAACAAUUUUACACCUGAAAAUCCAACGCUACAGCUUAAGUGGUGAAACACAUAGGGUGCCAUAAUCCCAGGGUAAAAACAGGCGGAGUAUCCCAGAAACUUCACUGCUUCAGGUUAUGCAAACAAGCGAUAGAGCCAAAGGGACAAACUACUAAGUUCUAAACUCCCGAACGCCUUAGUUUUGUAUAUUUUAGCUUCCCAACCAUGCCCAGCACAGUGCCUGGCACAUAGGAAAAGCUCACUGAAUAUUUGCUGAACAAGAACCUAAAAUUCUUGCUGGAGGACCUCACCAGCUUCCAUAGUGGAUCAGCUGCUUCUCCAAAUCCCACUGAACCUCCCCUCAACUAAACUUUCUAAGCUAUAUCCAUUUCUGAGUUGGAGUGUCCCAAUCCCACAUGUUCCUCACUAAACCCACCAAAACAAUCUCUCUCUCAUUUCUUCCUAUCACUAAUGUUGACACCACCGUUUUUA